GCACCUGUAGCUCAGCAGCUAGGGCGCCAGCCCCAUACGCUGGAGCUAGCAGGUUCGAAUCCAGCCUGGGUCU
rnacentral:tRNA from 1 species